AUAGAUAGUUGUCCCAUGUGCCGCGCUCAUUUCUAUGGGGACAAGGCCUAUAAAAACAGGGGGAUGCAGCGAUUUCUGGAAGUUUGGGUUGGUCUACAUCCAAAGCAGCUCGGCGCAACAGUCACUGAAUCUCUCUUCACCAACUGAAAAGUCAACAGUUGAAUCUACGGCUUCAAGAUGAAGGUUUGGGUUGUUGCCGUUCUUUGUGUGAUGUGCCUUGCCCUGGCCCAGGUCCAUGGCUACAUGGAGGAGAAAGAUGAGACUGUCCGUGCCUUGAUGAGUGAAUUGCUGGAAAAAAUGGAGGAGCGCAAGGAAGCCCAUGAACGCGGCUUAUUCGAUAGACGUGACCGAGGCGGACAGCGUCCAUACAUAAACGCAGAUGGAGUUGAGGUCUACCCUGUUUAGAUUGGGACCCACCGAUCUACCGUGGAAUACAAGAUCCCAAACCGAACUCACGGAUUUGCAGUGAUUUGUACUUUUAGUCUAUAUUUUUGUAAUCCUCUUCUGAGACAACCUCUAUGCGUCGGAUAGUAUAAAAACACACGUUUUAAAUUCCAUCAAAAAUACCACAAUUCUGGACGGUGAGGUUUCACACUAGGCCAAAACCUCCGUUUCUAUGCUGCUUCUUAUAAAACGCGCGAAUUAUGGAUAUUCUAUACUAUAGUAUAUAGUUUAUUAGUUGGUAUUCGUUUAUAUUGACAUUGACUUUGGAGAUACAGCGAGUCAUAAUUAUUGCAACGACGUUGAUUCUAUUAAAGAAUGCGUAAUACUCUGUCAAAACAGGUUAAGCAAAGGCUAUGGUUUCAUUCGAUACGAAAGGAUUCUUAUUUCUUAUUAAUGUGCCAGACUGCAGUACUCGAAAUCUACAAACACCUCACUUAAGAUCAAAGACAUCAUUUCGAUUUGUCUGUUCCUGUAUUUUCUGUCUCUACCUUAACUGGUUCUAGGUAUAUAGGUGUUGUUAUCGGCUUUUACUGUCUGGGUAUAGCCUAUACAUAUGAUAAUAAUAGAGGUCUUGGGGGAUACAUGUAUAUCUAAAAACCAUUAUACGUUGAUGCAUACUUUCAGCUUAAUUUACUUUUGGACUUUUAGUAUCGAGAGCGUCAAUAAAUCAAAUAUCUUCCAAGCAAAAGAGCAGGCCAAACUGAUGUUGAUUGAUUAGUUGUCGUUAAUUAAUGCAUUCCGGUACCCAGUGCCCCUUUAGUCAGGUGCUUUCUUUUUGU